UACGAAGGGGGCGAGCGUUGUUCGGAUUUACUGGGCGUAAAGGGCGCGUAGGCGGCCCUCCUUGUCGCGUGUGAAAGCCCCGGGCUCAACCUGGGAAUUGCGCGCGAAACGGGGGGGCUUGAGUUCGGGAGAUGAGCGUGGAAUUCCCAGUGUAGAGGUGAAAUUCGUAGAUAUUGGGAAGAACACCGGUGGCGAAGGCGGCGCUCUGGACCGAGACUGACGCUGAGGCGCGAAGGCUAGGGGAGCAAACGGG
rnacentral:rRNA from 1 species